UCCUUCUCUUCCUUCCCUUCCAAGACUGUGGAUCUUUCUGACACAGCAUUCACUGACAAUGCCCAGAUGUGAACCCUAGAACUAAUAGCAGCACUGGAUUAAAAAGGGGAAGAAAUCCCAUCUCAUUUCUGCACUCUUUAGUCUCUCUGAAACAUCUAACCUGAAGCCUUUACUUUUCAAUGGAGAAUUGGAAGAGCUGUCUCUGAAAACCCUGUCUUGCACUGUUUGCUUGGGAGAAUCAGGAUUCCAUGCCUAUUGGAAGAAUAAGAGGUUACUGUUUUGUAUGCUGCUGUCCUUUGCCUGGUAAUAUGUUGUUGGGAUUUUGGCAUCCCUUCAUCUGAUGGGAUGUAUUUGCAGUUUGGGGUUGUAUUAAAUUUCUCUGGUUUUGUUAAUAUAAUACUAUUUUCAGAGAGACAUUCAGUGUUUUUUUUUUUCAUCUGUUUUGACUAAUCUAAAUAAUAAACAUUACAGUUACCUUUUCUUUAAAAAUUUACUUGAAAUCCACUGGGAAUUCAUUUAUGUUUGAUAUUUUGGAGGAAGGCAGUUCUUUGAAACAUUUUUUCCCCCUGUGGCAAUUGGUUUUCUCGGACUAUCUUUUCUGGAAUUGAUUCUGGUCAAGUUUUGCUCAGCAGUGGACAUUGAAAAUCAGUUAACUACACAGAAAUCAUGUUUUGGGAAGUGUGGUUGACAGCUAUUUGGACACUUUAUAUUUUCUUGGUGAGCUUUUUUUAGAGUUGAAGAUAUAAAAAAUGUAAACUCAAAUCAUGUUCCACAGAAUUGCUAAAACAAGCAUGGGAAAGUAUUGUGACGGUGAAUAUGCUAUUCUCUGCUAAUAACAGAACUUGACAGGAAGACAUGAGUGACAGGAAAAGAUAGGGAAGGUUUUCAGACAUAGAAAGCCACUACGGUGUUGCUUAUAUCACAAAAAAAAAAAAAAAAAAAAAAAAAAAAAAAAAAAAAAAAAAAAAAAAGAAGU